CUGCGCUGAGACACUCGCAAGAUUCUCUACUUUCUCCUCUGUUAAUGCCUGCAUAAUUAAGCAGCACAUGCUGGUGACGACAGCUCUGAUGAGAGUCCUCCUGGAGAAGCAUCAGGUUGAAUUUGACACAAACAUCAUUGUGAGGUGUUGCCAGCCCAAGAAGGUUGCACAGGCUGCUCACAAGGCGUCCGAGGAAGCUGUUGAGGUCCUCUGCUCGAACAGCCUUGCAGUCCAAUGCGUCCAUGAGAUGGCGAUCAGAUUGCUGGGGAGGCCCAGGAGCAUUCUGCUGCCUUGACAGGAACUCAGCCAGCUGCGCUUCCAGGGCAGCAAUGCGACCCUCAUGCUCCAGCUGGCCUGGGGAUAAAUAGAACAAGCUAGCUUGAGCAGAGUGAUAAGCUUCAAGAACGUCCAGCUGACAUCUACAUAUCCAAAUACAGGGAUGCCAAUAAGGUCUUGGUCACCUGGAACCUCUCUGACAUUGCCAACGGGCUCCUGCGGGGUCUCUUCAUGAGUUGCCAAUGCUACUGGCACUGCAUUGUUCUUGCUUCCAGCUUGCCCCU
rnacentral:lncRNA from 1 species